rnacentral:rRNA from 1 species
GACGUAGGGCGCGAGCGUUGUCCGGAUUUAUUGGGCGUAAAGAGCUCGUAGGCGGCUUGUCGCGUCGACUGUGAAAACCCCGCGACUCAACCGCGGGCCUGCAGUCGAUACGGGCAGGCUAGAGUUCGGUAGGGGAGACUGGAAUUCCUGGUGUAGCGGUGAAAUGCGCAGAUAUCAGGAGGAACACCGAUGGCGAAGGCAGGUCUCUGGGCCGAUACUGACGCUGAGGAGCGAAAGCGUGGGGAGCGAACAGG